rnacentral:rRNA from 1 species
GACGGGGGCCCGCACAAGCGGAGGAACAUGUGGUUUAAUUCGAUGAUACGCGAGGAACCUUACCCGGGCUUGAAUUGUGCAGGACGGUUUCCAGAGACGGAAUCCUUCUUCGGACCUGCAUGAAGGUGCUGCAUGGUUGUCGUCAGCUCGUGCCGUGAGGUGUCGGCUUAAGUGCCAUAACGAGCGCAACCCCUGCCGCCAGUUGCCAUCCUUGAGUGGGGCACUCUGGCGGGACUGCCGUCACAAGGCGUGAGGAAGGUGGGGAUGACGUCAAAUCAGCACGGCCCUUACGUCCGGGGCUACACACGUGUUACAAUGGGGGGCACAGCGCGCCGCCACCUGGCGACAGGGAGCGAAUCGUGAAAUCCCCUCUCAGUUCGGAUCGGAGUCUGCAACCCGACUCCGUGAAGCUGGAUUCGCUAGUAAUCGCGCAUCAGCCAUGGCGCGGUGAAUACGUUCCCGGGCCUUGUACACACCGCCCGUCAAGCCAUGAAAGCCGGGGGCGCCUGAAGUCCGUAGCCGCGAGGGUCGGCCUAGGUCGAAACCGGUGAUUGGGGCUAAGUCGUAACAAGGUGCCGUCCGAG